rnacentral:lncRNA from 1 species
ACCGGACCAACGAAUCCUGGUCUGGUUAUAUUUAGUCAGCCGAGCCGCGAACAGGGACCGCCACUGAGAGCGAGAAGAGAGAGACGGGCAAAAACCUGGUCACGGACGCGCGACAGGGCCUGGCGCGAACGAAUGAGAUAGAGAGAGAAGGCCCGACGCGCCGCGCGAAGGAGCGAGCGAGAGAGCGAGUACGUGAUUGGGUGAGUAACUACGUACGUGAGUAAGCGAUCGAGUGAAUAAGCGAAUGCGUUAACCGAACGAGCAAGUGAGACAAGUCGCGACAGGCUUUGGGGGGGGGAACCAAACAACAAAGAUGGAAAGACGCGGCGAUCCGAAAAGUGCGACGAGGUUAGGUCGCCGUCGCGAGCACGUUUCGUCCGAGCGCGACGUAGAUAUAAUUCGAGAGACUGGAAGAAAGAGAUAUAAAAGAAACGGUCCGAUGGGUUAUUAAGGGAAUUACGGGGAAUCAAGUCACGUGAGAGAAAAGGAGCGCCAAUCCCGCUUCCGAGGGCGACUUCGACGCGCAUGCGCGGGGAUGCAAUCACGGAAGGGACGCGUCCACGUUUCCGGGUAUUGGGAUGGCUAACCUGAAUCGGGAUUGGUAAUUCGUAUAAAAGAAUCUAGUCAGUGUCGGUCUGCGCUCCGGUGACGCCGUAACCUGCGAUAUGGCCGGGAUGGAAUUGAGGUUAGGUCGGCUCGCUCGCUCGGCUGACCGUUCGCGUUUUCGUUCCGCACUCGACCGCGAAAAUCGCGUUUCAGGGCGCCGGGAGUGAUCUCGGCCCUGACCGUUCCGCUCUUUGUUUUCGACGCGACGACGCGAUUUGACGACAGGUUCGACGCACUGCGAGCGACUAAGAGAGGUUAGGACUCGCUCGCGCACUCGGAACGCUGGCCAGGGCUGACCAGGAGAGAGAGAGAGAGAGACGGAGAGACAGCGCUCGCCGGCCGUGAGAAAAGGACGGAGAUAGGGGCCGGUUUGCCGGAGAGGGAAACAAGUGAAAGAAAGCCGGGGCAUCCGACGCAAAGGGCGCGAUGGAAAGCGAAGGAGAGCGAGAGAGAGGAGGCGAGGCACGCAAUCGGCGAGGACACUUGGGGGCGGAGAGAGUGAGAGAGACGGAAAUAGGGAAUUCCUCAAAGAAUCCAGAUGAAUUUCUAUGCCACGCAUUCUUCGACACUAGGGAUGAAGACAAUGGAAAACAAAGGAGAAAGAGAUGGACAUUGGAAUUCUUCAGAGAGUUUAGGGAAAACGUGGCUUCGCGGUGCAGCGUAAUGUGAGCCCUGGAUUUUCCUGUAAAGCGGAUUAAUCGCCACGAAGAGAGCCGAGACCUCGUGAGCCCUGGAUUUUCCUCUAAACGGGAUUAAUCACCGCGAAGCACGUGGGGCAUCGCCCACAGUCGGCACGUUAAUACAAACUCCUCUCUUCGAGAUCUCUUCGAGUGAUUUCACCGAGCCAGCAAAGGCGGCCAUUUAGCUGGUGAUUUAGCAUCGAUUGGCAAUUCCCCCAGAGCCGAAGGAAAUCAAUUACGAGAAGGUCGAGGCGGAAACUCCGAAUGGACAUCUAGAAGCGCAUUCGAUCAUAGACCGAAGGUUUCUAGGGUUUCCGACCUACUUGAAGGUUUCGCGCUACCUUUAGUCGUGGCAAUUGAUUAGUCCUAUCACCGCCGCCGUUAUCGGCGUUGCUUUCGCCCCUUAUCAGCCCCCCUUAACGGGCGAAGGUCCGCGAUAACGCGGAACCGUGUCUCCCAUUAUUACCGAUUACAUAUUCAAGACGGAGCGCGAAGCGAAAAGGAAAAAAGGAAUAAAUAGAAUGCCUGUAACUCGGUAGAAGUGAAACUUCUUCGUUUUGGAUGAAAGGGUGGUUAUUCAGCCAGCAGUAAUUCAAACGUUUCAUUUCAUUUAGACGAUUCGAUGAAUUACCACCAAUUUUCUGUCCCUUUCAUCUGAAACAAUGAAGUCUCACUUCUAUCGAGUGCCAGGCUUUCUUCUAUUUCCUAUUUCAUUAGUAUUAUUAGUAUUAUUUCAUAGUAUCUCUCUUUACGUGUGUACGCAUCUUCAUGUCACGUUGCGUAUGUCAAAAAUUGAAAAAGAAGAACCAUUGAAGUUUAACGGUGGCCAAACUGGUCACGGAUUUUCCUUCGAGAAAAUUGAGGGGAACCCCUUUUCCAACAUUUCGUGCAUUUUUCCACUUAAACCGCCGUGCAACUACUUUCUAUACACACUACACCGAGAAAAAGAAUCCAUUGAACCAAACAUGACAUCUCAUCGACAGUGUCAAAAUAUAUAUUUCGUUAAUUGAAAGGAUAUUUAUUUGACAGAAACUGAAAUAAAUUGCCGUAAUUCCGAAGGGACGUUGGGUCCAAUUCAUUCGAGUUUAUUCCAGUCAAAUGAUUAUUCUUUGAAUUAAAAAAACAUUUCUCUGGUUCAAUGAUUUUUUUUCCUUUUUUUUUUUCUUUUCUUAAAGUAGUAAUACUACCCCUACUAAUAAGAUAAGCCGACACAGAACAAAGCACAGAGUUUCUCUGUAGGAG